rnacentral:rRNA from 1 species
GGUGAACGCUGGCGGUAGGCCUAACACAUGCAAGUCGAACGGCAGCACAGUAAGAGCUUGCUCUUACGGGUGGCGAGUGGCGGACGGGUGAGGAAUACAUCGGAAUCUACUUUUUCGUGGGGGAUAACGUAGGGAAACUUACGCUAAUACCGCAUACGACCUACGGGUGAAAGCAGGGGAUCUUCGGACCUUGCGCGAUUGAAUGAGCCGAUGUCGGAUUAGCUAGUUGGCGGGGUAAAGGCCCACCAAGGCGACGAUCCGUAGCUGGUCUGAGAGGAUGAUCAGCCACACUGGAACUGAGACACGGUCCAGACUCCUACGGGAGGCAGCAGUGGGGAAUAUUGGACAAUGGGCGCAAGCCUGAUCCAGCCAUACCGCGUGGGUGAAGAAGGCCUUCGGGUUGUAAAGCCCUUUUGUUGGGAAAGAAAAGCAGCUGGUUAAUACCCCGCUGUUCUGACGGUACCCAAAGAAUAAGCACCGGCUAACUUCGUG